rnacentral:misc_RNA from 1 species
ACAGAUUGUAAGUUAAAUCAUCCCCCUCACAAUUUGCUCAUGACUGCAAUAGCUGCAACAACCAGCAUGGGAACUAUCAGUCAAGUGCCUAUGGCCCCUUCUGCUGCUGCUAUGGCAGCUGCUCAGGCUAUUGUUGCUGCCCAAGCCCUUCAAGCCCAUGCUGCUCAAGUGCAAGCUCAGCAAGCUCAGUCUGCAAAAGACUCUUCUGGUUCAUCUGACAAAUCUG